GACGAAGGUGGCAAGCGUUGUUCGGAAUCACUGGGCUUAAAGCGUGUGUAGGCGGCUCGUCAAGUGCCUUGUGAAAUCCCCCGGCUCAACCGGGGAAUUGCUUGGCAGACUGACGAGCUUGAGGCAGGUAAGGGCGCGCGGAACUCUUGGUGGAGCGGUGGAAUGCGUAGAUAUCAAGAGGAACGCCGGAGGUGAAGACGGUGCGCUGGGCCUGUCCUGACGCUGAGACACGAAAGCCAGGGGAG
rnacentral:rRNA from 1 species